rnacentral:rRNA from 1 species
UUUGGUGGUCAGAGCGGUGUGGACCCACCCGUUCCCAUCCCGAACACGGAAGUGAAACGCACCAGCGCAGACGAUACUAGGGACGGAAGUCUCCGCGGAAAAUAUGCCACUGCCAGGG